GUGGUUAAGACAUGCAAGUCGAACGAGAAGCUCCCUUCGGGGAGUGGAGAGUGGCGCACGGGUGAGUAACACGUGAGCAACCUGCCGGGAAGCCCGGGAUAGCCCGCCGAGAGGAGGAUUAAUACCGGAUGUGGCCACCCUGCGAUUGCGGGGGAAGCUAAAGGAUUUAUUCACUUCCCGAGGGGCUCGCGGCCCAUCAGCUUGUUGGUGAGGGUAACGGCCCACCAAGGCGACAACGGGUAGCUGGUCUGAGAGGAUGGUCAGCCACACUGGAACUGAGACACGGUCCAGACACCUACGGGUGGCAGCAGUCGAGAAUCAUUCGCAAUGGGGGAAACCCUGACGAUGCGACGCCGCGUGGAGGAUGAAGGCCUUAGGGUUGUAAACUCCUGUCAAGAGGGAAUAAGCAAGUGAAGGUACCUCUAGAGGAAGGGGCGGCUAAUUCCGUGCCAGCAGCCGCGGUAACACGGAAGCCCCGAGCGUUGUUCGGAUUCAUUGGGCGUAAAGGGUGCGUAGGCGGCGCGGAAAGUCCGGCGUGAAGGGCAGGGGCUCAACCUCUGGACUGCGUUGGAUACUUCCGUGCUUGAGGACUGGAGGGGAGACUGGAAUUCACGGUGUAGCAGUGAAAUGCGUAGAUAUCGUGAGGAAGACCGGUGGCGAAGGCGAGUCUCUGGACAGAUCCUGACGCUGAGGCACGAAGGCUGGGGGAGCGAACAGGAUUAGAUACCCUGGUAGUCCCAGCAGUAAACGAUGUGAGCUUGAUGUGGGGGGAUUCGACCCCUUCCAUGUCGAAGCUAACGCGAUAAGCUCACCGCCUGAGGAGUACGGCCGCAAGGCUAAAACUCAAAGAAAUUGACGGGGACCCGCACAAGCGGUGGAGUAUGUGGCUUAAUUCGAUGCAACGCGAAGAACCUUACCUGGCCUUGACAUGCAUUGUGUCGUCGGUGAAAGCCGGCUAGUCCUGGAAACAGGACGCUUUGCACAGGUGCUGCAUGGCUGUCGUCAGCUCGUGUCGUGAGAUGUUGGGUUAAGUCCCGCAACGAGCGCAACCCUUGUGGUCAGUUACUAACCGGCUUAGCCGGAGGACUCUGGCCAGACUGCCCUGUCAAACGGGGAGGAAGGUGGGGACGACGUCAAGUCAGUAUGGCCCUUAUGGCCAGGGCUGCACACGUACUACAAUG
rnacentral:rRNA from 1 species